rnacentral:rRNA from 1 species
AGUGGCGGACGGGUGAGUAACACGUAGGUACCUGCCUUGAGCGGGGACAACACUGGAAACGGUGCUAAUACCCAUAUGUCUUCGGGAUGAAAGCUCUGGCGCCUUGAGAUGGGCCUGCGGCUUGAUUAGCUAGUUGGUGGGGUAAAUGCCUACCAGGCGACGAUCAGUAGCUGGUUUGAGAGGAUGAUCAGCCACAAUGGAACUGAGACACGGUCCAUACUCCUACGGGGAGGCAGCAGUAGGGAAUUUUGCGCUAUGGGCGAAAGCCUGAACGCAGCAACACCGCGUGAGUGAUGAAGUUUUCGGAGUGUAAACUCUGUUCAGUGGGGACGAAAAAAAUGGACGGUACCCACAAAGCGAAGCACCGGCUAACUCCGUGCCAGCAGCCGCGGUAAGACGGAGGGUCCAACCAUUGUCCGGAAUUAUUGGGCGUAAAGCGUUCGUAGNCGGCAUGUCAAGUCUGAUGUUAAAGCCCGGAGCUCAACUCCGGUUAGGCAUUGGAUACUGGCAAGCUAGAGUACAGAAGAGGCAAGGGGAAUUCCUAGUGUAGCGGUGAAAUGCGUAGAUAUUAGGAGGAACACCGGUGGCGUAAGCGCCUUGCUGGUCUGUAACUGACGCUGAGGAACGAAAGCCAGGGUAGCAAAUGGGAUUAGAUACCCCAGUAGUCCUGGCCGUAAACGAUGGAUACUAGGUGUUGCAGGUAUCGACCCCUGCAGUGCUGCAGCUAACGCAAUAAGUAUCCCGCCUGGGGAGUACGCACGCAAGUGUGAAACUCAAAGGAAUUGACGGGGACCCGCACAAGCGGUGGAACAUGUGGUUUAAUUCGAAGCAACGCGAAGAACCUUACCAGGGCUUGACAUCCUGAGAACUUUCCAGAGAUGGAUUGGUGCCCUUCGGGGAACUCAGUGACAGGUGGUGCACGGUUGUCGUCAG